rnacentral:rRNA from 1 species
UGGCGGCAGGCCUAACACAUGCAAGUCGAGCGGUAACAUUUCUAGCUUGCUAGAAGAUGACGAGCGGCGGACGGGUGAGUAACGCGUAGAAAUCUACCUAGUAGUGGGGGAUAGCCCAGAGAAAUUUGGAUUAAUACCGCAUACGCCUACGGGGGAAAGCGGGGGAUCUUCGGACCUCGUGCUAUUAGAUGAGUCUGCGUCGGAUUAGCUUGUUGGUGAGGUAAUGGCUCACCAAGGCGACGAUCCGUAGCUGGUCUGAGAGGAUGACCAGCCACACUGGAACUGAGACACGGUCCAGACUCCUACGGGAGGCAGCAGUGGGGAAUAUUGCACAAUGGGCGCAAGCCUGAUGCAGCCAUGCCGCGUGUGUGAAGAAGGCCUUAGGGUUGUAAAGCACUUUCAGCAGUGAGGAAAGGGGUGUCGUUAAUAGCGCCAUCCUGUGACGUUAACUGCAGAAGAAGGACCGGCUAACUCCGUG